UUGAAAUCCAGAAAAUUUCAACGGCUUUACUAUAACCCACAUAAAAUAAUUUAAAGGUAAUAAUCAAAACUGUAUCAUAAAUAGUGUGUGUGGCUUCCUCCGAGCCCCUAGCAACCCCGAUCCAUCUAAGGCUGGAAAUUACCUGAAAGGUUAAUAAACGGGGUGAGUUUACGAAAACUCAGUGUGAAAUCCCCUACUAUAAAAAGGAACAGUCAGUCAUCUAAAAGAAUUAAAAGUUUGGCCCCAGCCUUACGUACAAUUUCAGUACCAAUCGGGUCUUAGCCCAUUACAACAGACAGUACCAGAUGGACCUUAGCCCAUUAUAGAAUAAGAAACAUUAUCAGAAUUAGAACCAAAAUAAGAAUCAGAAUCAGAAUCAGUAACAGAAUCAGAAUCAAAAUCAAUAUUAGUAACAGAAUCAGAAUUAGAAUCAGAAUUAGGUGACAGAAUCAGAAUCAGAAUCAGUAACAGAAUCAGAAUCAGUAUUAGUAACAGAAUCAGAAUCAGAAUCAGAAUCAGAAUUAGGUGACAGAAUCAGAUCAGUAACAGAAUCAGAAUCAGUAUUAGUAACAGAAUCAGAAUCAGAAUCAGAAUCAGAAUCAGAAUCAGAAUGUGAAUGCGAUCCCAACCCAUUCCAGCCGUAUACACCCCCGUACCAACCUUACACCAUGUGGGGGGACAACUCGACCCACCCAUCUGCUACACACCACAGAAUUUGCAGCAUGGCUGCCAGAACAGAUAUCGUGACAGAGUCACCAGAUACAGAUAUUGUGGCAGAGCCACCAGAAUCAGAUAAUGUGGCAAAGCCACCUAACAGAAUACGUGGCAUAAAGCCAUAGAUAACUGUAAUAACUUUGGCACAUAGCCAUUAGUGACAGUAAUAUAACUGGCGCACAGCCUUCGGUAAAUAUGAUCGACACAGAGUCGUCAGCAAAUAUGUUAGGCACAUAGCUACAGGUAAAUACGUUUGGCACGAAGCCAUAGUCAAGAUGGCACAAAGCCAUAUUUAGGUUGGCACAGAGCCAUUAAUAAAGGGUCUAUAAUCGGCAUGAAGCCCACAACAACGGCACACAGCCUUCGGUAACGUGAUUGGCACUCAGCCAUCAAUCGGUCAACAGAUAUUGUGACAGAGUCACCAGAUACAGAUAUUGUGGCAGAGCCACCAGAACAGAUAUUUGUGGCAUAGCCACCAGAACGCUUCCUCCGUACAAAAUCCCAACCCAUGCAACAUGUCAUGUAUGCAGAAUGUCAUGCCCAUAUUUGAAUCAAACAAUCACAGUCAAGUCAUUCAUAUCACCAACAUAUAUUCACAAUCAAAUCCGUCAAACAAACAGUCCAAGUCAGUCACUUGCCCACAAGGGCAAAACAGUCAUUUAACACCCUAGGGGCAAAAUGGUAAUUUUACCCCACAAGGGUAUCUCGGUAAUUCUACCCUACAGGGGUAUUUCGGUAUUUCUACCCUACAAGGGUAUUUUGAUAAUUCUACUCUACAGGGGUAUUUUGGUAAUUCUAUCCUAUAAGGGUAUUUCAGUAGUUCUACCCUAUAGGGGUAUUUCGAAAAUUCUACCCUACAGGGGUAUUUCAGUAAUUUCACAAUCAAGGGUAAAACGGUAAUUCUGUAAAUCGAGGGUAAAACGAUAAUUUUGUAAACUGAGGGUAAACCAGUAAUUCUGUAAAUCAAGGGUAAAACAGUAAUUUUACAAAUCGAGGGUAAAACGGUAAUUCUGUAAAUCGAGGGUAAAACAGUAAUUCUGUAAACUGAGGGUAAAACGGUAAUUCUGUAAAUCGAGGGUAAAACAGUAAUUCUGUAAACUGAGGGUAAAACGGUAAUUCUGUAAAUCGAGGGUAAAACAGUAAUUUUACAAAUCGAGGGUAAAAUGAUAAUUCUAUAAAUCGAGGGUAAAAUAGUAAUUUUGUAAACUGAGGGUAAAACGAUAAUUCUGUAAAUCGAGGGUAAAACGAUAAUUCUGUAAACUGAGGGUAAAACGGUAAUUCUAUAAAUCGAGGGUAAAAUGAUAAUUUUAAAAAUCGAGGGUAAAACGGUAAUUCUGUAAAUCAAGGGUAAAACGGUAAUUCUGUAAAUCGAGGGUAAAACAAUAAUUUUAAAAAUCGAGGGUAAAACGAUAAUUCUGUAAAUCGAGGGUAAAACGGUAAUUCUGUAAAUCGGGAGUACUUUGGUAAUUUUACAAGUCGAGGGCAUUUCAGUAAUUGGUAAACUAAAGUAUUCUAAACAUGGAUAACAAUACGAAUGGGCCUAAAGCCUAUUCUCGGCCCAAAUGGGCCCACACGCUCGUGUGGCCCUUUUAGCCCAAACCUAGCCACAGAUAUGCGAUUCACCUAGCCUAGUCCAAUAUUUACUACACAAUCAAACAACUUAUCCAAUUGGGCCCGUAGGCCCAUUGGGCCCACAUGGCCCCUUUCGGCCCAUCGCGGCCCGAAGUAGCCAUCCAACAACAAGAGUAGUGAUAAAUACACACCUGAUUGGAGACUGGAGUUAAUCCACGCUCCGAGCACUCUUAGCUGACGCCCAGCCCAAACGAGCACGCCAUAAAGCGAAAAG
rnacentral:lncRNA from 1 species